GUACGGUCGCAAGGCUAAAACCCAAAGGAAUUGACGGGGGCCCGCACAAGCAGCGGAGCGUGUGGUUUAAUUCGAUGCAACGCGAAGAACCUUACCUGGGCUUGACAUGUACGUAGUAGUGAAGGGAAACCGGAACGAGCCUUCGGGCAGCGUAGACAGGUGCUGCAUGGCUGUCGUCAGCUCGUGUCGUGAGAUGUUGGGUUAAGUCCCGCAACGAGCGCAACCCGUGUUGCUAGUUACAAGUGUCUAGCGAGACUGCCGGUAACAAGCCGGAGGAAGGUGCGGAUGAUGUCAAGUCAGCAUGGCCUAUAUGUCCAGGGCUACACACACGCUACAAUGGCUGGUACAAAGAGAAGCGAAAGGGAGACCUGAAGCGAAUCUCAUCAAAGCCAGUCAUAGUUCGGAUUGCAGGCUGCAACUCGCCUGCAUGAAGUCGGAGUUGCUAGUAACCGCAGGUCAGCAAUACUGCGGUGAACACGUUCCCGGGCCUUGUACACAC
rnacentral:rRNA from 1 species